rnacentral:lncRNA from 1 species
CUUUUGAUGGCUCCCUUCUCAGACUGGCUUCUUAUCCAGCCCCCUUGCCUCCCUGAAGCAGCUCUCCUGAAGGCCAACCAUGUCUUCUUCAAGGCUCCAGUUCCCUACGGAUGUGCCUCCUCACUCUUUGAAACUGAAACCAGAGAACCAAGUCAUGCGGAGGACCAGCUGCAACCACAAUGGAUCGGCCCUUCUGAGGAAAUCUACUCUCAGGCAAGAAACUAAAACUCACCGGAUCAUUUCAUCUGAACAACAAUAUUCCAGACCACUCAUCAAUCAUGAUUGCUUCCUUACCUCCAUGAAUUCCUGCUUUCCCACCUCCCUGCUUCCCUGCUAUAUACACCUCCCGAUUUUAGUCGGUCAAGGAGAUGGCUUUGAGACCUUAUCUCCCAUUCUCCUUGGCUGCAGCACCUGAUUAAAGCCCGCUUCCCUGUCAGUACUCAUUGCCUCAGUGAUUGGGAUUCCGUCCGUGCAGCAAGCAACAGGACCUAGACUGAACCCCUGGCAUUUUGGUAACAUCGAGA